AGCGAACGCUGGCGGCAGGCCUAACACAUGCAAGUCGAACGAAGUCUUCGGACUUAGUGGCGGACGGGUGAGUAACACGUGGAAACGUGCCUUUAGGUUCGGAAUAACUCAGGGAAACUUGUGCUAAUACCGAAUGUGCCCUUCGGGGGAAAGAUUUAUCGCCUUUAGAGCGGCCCGCGUCUGAUUAGCUAGUUGGUGAGGUAAAGGCUCACCAAGGCGACGAUCAGUAGCUGGUCUGAGAGGAUGACCAGCCACAUUGGGACUGAGACACGGCCCAAACUCCUACCGGAGGCAGCAGUGGGGAAUCCUGCGCAAUGGGCGAAAGCCUGACGCAGCCAUGCCGCGUGGAUGAUGAAGGUCUUAGGAUUGUAAAAUCCUUUCACCGGUGAAGAUAAUGACUGUAGCCGGAGAAGAAGCCCCGGCUAACUUCGUGCCAGCCGCCGCGGUAAUAC
rnacentral:rRNA from 1 species